rnacentral:rRNA from 1 species
UGGGGAAUCUUGCACAAUGGGGGAAACCCUGAUGCAGCGACGCCGCGUGAGCGAUGAAGGUUUUCGAAUCGUAAAGCUCUGUCCUAUGGGAAGAUACUGACGGUACCAUAGGAGGAAGUCCCGGCUAACUACGUGCCAGCAGCCGCGGUAUUACGUAGGGGGCGAGCGUUGUCCGGAAUUACUGUGCGUAAAGGGUUCGCAGGCGGCAUGACAAGUCCGAUGUAAAAGGCGAAAGCUCAACUUUCGUAAGCAUCGGAAACUGUCAAGCUUGAGUGAAGGAGAGGCAAGUGGAAUUCCUAGUGGAGCGGUGGAAUGCGUAGAUAUUAGGAGGAAUACCGGUGGCGAAGGCGACUUGCUGGACUUCUACUGACGCUGAGGAACGAAAGCGUGGGUAGCAAACAGG